rnacentral:rRNA from 1 species
AGUCGACCCCUAAGGCGAGGCCGAAAGGCGUAGUCGAUGGGAAACAGGUUAAUAUUCCUGUACUUGGUGUUACUGCGAAGGGGGGACGGAGAAGGCUAUGUUAGCCGGGCGACGGUUGUCCCGGUUUAAGCAUGUAGGCUGGUUGUCCAGGCAAAUCCGGAUAAUCAAGGCUGAGGUGUGAUGACGAGGCACUACGGUGCUGAAGUAACAAAUGCCCUGCUUCCAGGAAAAGCCUCUAAGCAUCAGGUAACAUCAAAUCGUACCCCAAACCGACACAGGUGGUCAGGUAGAGAAUACCAAGGCGCUUGAGAGAACUCGGGUGAAGGAACUAG